rnacentral:RNase_P_RNA from 4 species
UUAGCAAGAUGAGUGAUUGCCCCCGCAAAAGAGCCUAGCUCUCGCGGGGGAGGAAAGUCCGAACACUAUUUGCCGCAAGGCAGAAACGGUAGCGGGUAAUUCCCGUCGUUGGCAACAACAGGGCUGCGAACAGAAACGACCCGGUUUAGUCCGGCUGAAACGUGCUAAAUGCCUACUGGAGUGCAAGAACAAAGCUGAGAGGAAUCUCAUAAUUCUUAUCAGUUAAAAGUAGUUCGCCAGAGCCAAAUAGUAAUAUUUGGCCCAGAUAGAUAAUCACUGUCGCCGCAAGGCGAUACAGAAUUCGGCUUAUAGCCUUGCUAAUCCA